CCAAAUCCUACUUACCAAAGGGCACCUAUAGAUGUGGUCAUUGCAGUGCCUGUCAGUAUAUAGGUAAAGAAACGAAGAUGUUUUCUGACAGCUCGAAUUCUGACUCCCACUAUGUACGUUCUUUUUUCAAUUGCCGUACCGAGGGUGUCAUUUACCUUUUGACAUGUUCCUGCGGUAUUAAGUAUGUCGGAAAGACAUUCCGUCCUUUUAAGUUCCGCAUUAGAGAACAUGUCAAUUCGGUUAGAAGUAAAUUGGAAACUCCAAUCUCAAGG